rnacentral:rRNA from 1 species
AUUGAACGCUGGCGGCGUGCCUAAUACAUGCAAGUCGAACGGAGUGGCGCACGGGUGAGUAAUGUAUAGCUAAUCUUCCCUACACUAGAGGACAACAACUGGGAACGACUGCUAAUUCUCUCUAGUCUAGUAUGUGGCUAUAUUUUAUCAUCUAGUUGGUGAGGUAAUGGCUCACCAAGGCUAUGACACAUAUCUGGUUUGCGAGGAGGAUCAGUCAAACUGGAACUGAGACACGGUCCAGACUCCUACGAGAGGCAGCAGGGGGGAAUAUUGCACAGUGGGGGAAACCCUGAUGCAGCAACGCCGCGUGGUGGAUGAAACCUUUCGGAGCGUAAACUCCUUUUGGUAGGGAAGCAUUGGUAACUGAACGCCCCCUGACGUUAUCGAAACAGAAAGCCACGGCUAACUACGUGCCAGCAGCCGCGGUAAUGC